rnacentral:rRNA from 1 species
UAUGGCUCAACCAUAGAACUGCUUCCAAAACUGAUUUACUAGAGUAUGGGAGAGGUAGAUGGAAUUUCUGGUGUAGGGGUAAAAUCCGUAGAGAUCAGAAGGAAUACCGAUUGCGAAGGCGAUCUACUGGAACAUUACUGACGCUGAGAUGCGAAAGCGUGGGGAGCAAACAGGAUUAGAUACCCUGGUAGUCCACGCCCUAAACGAUGCACACUAGUUGUUGCUAUGCUAGACAUAGCAGUAAUGCAGUUAACACAGUAAGUGUGCCGCCUGGGGAGUACGGUCGCAAGAUUAAAACUCAAAGGAAUAGACGGGGACCCGCACAAGCGGUGGAGCAUGUGGUUUAAUUCGACGAUACGCGAAGAACCUUACCUGGCCUUGACAUAGAAAGAACUUUCCAGAGACGGAUUGGUGCUAGUUUACUAGAGCUUUCAUACAGGUGCUGCACGGCUGUCGUCAGCUCGUGUCGUGAGAUGUUGGGUUAAGUCCCGCAACGAGCGCAACCCUCGUGUUUAGUUACUAACAGUUCGGCUGAGGACUCUAAACAGACUGCCUGGGUAACCAGGAGGAAGGUGAGGACGACGUCAAGUCAUCAUGGCCCUUACGGCCAGGGCUACACACGUGCUACAAUGGGGUAUACAAAGAGCCGCGAUACCGUGAGGUGGAGCAAAUCUCAUAAAAUAUCUCCCAGUUCGGAUUGAAGUCUGCAACUCGACUUCAUGAAGUUGGAAUCGCUAGUAAUCGUAGAUCAGCAAUGCUACGGUGAAUACGUUCCCGGGUCUUGUACUCACCGCCCGUCACACCAUGGGAAUUGAAUUCAUUCGAAGCGGGGAUGCUAAAAUAGCUACCUUCCACAGUG